GAUGAACGCUUGCUGUGUGGAUAAGGCAUGCAAGUCGAAUGGGUUUAGACCCAUGGCAGACGAGGUAGUAACACGUAGGAUAACGUGCUUCCAAGUCAGGCAUAACCCGAAGAAAUUCGGAAUAAUUCCUGAUAGUCUUGCAAAAUAAUUUUUUGUAAGUAAAGAUUUAUCGCUUGGAAAACGGCCUGCGCAGUAUCAGCUAGACGGUAGGGUAAUGGCCUACCGUGGCUACGACGCUUAGGGGAGGUGAGAGCCUGACCCUCACCGAUGGGACUGAGACACGGCCCAUACUCCUACGGGAGGCCGCAGUCGAGAAUCUUCCACAAUGGACGAAAGUCUGAUGGAGCGACACAGCGUGACUGAUGAAGUUUUUUAAAUGUAAAAGUCUUUUAUAAGCCAAGAAGUUUAUUGACUAGCUUAUGAAUAAGAGGCUGCUAAUCACGUGCCAGCCGCCGCCGUAACAC
rnacentral:rRNA from 1 species